UUACUGGGCGUAAAGGGAGCGUAGGUGGCUCGAUAAGUCAGAUGUGAAAUCCCCGGGCUCAACCUGGGAACUGCAUCUGAUACUGUUGAGCUAGAGUAUGUGAGAGGAAGGUAGAAUUCCAGGUGUAGCGGUGAAAUGCGUAAAGAUCUGGAGGAAUACCGAUGGCGAAGGCAGCCUUCUGGCAUAAUACUGACACUGAGGCUCGAAAGCGUGGGUAGCAAAUAGGAUUAGAUACCCCGGUAGUCCACGCCGUAAACGAUGUCUACUAGUCGUUGGGUCCCUUGAGGACUUAGUGACGCAGCUAACGCAAUAAGUAGACCGCCUGGGGAGUACGGCCGCAAGGUUAAAACUCAAAUGAAUUGACGGGGGCCCGCACAAGCGGUGGAGCAUGUGGUUUAAUUCGAUGCAACGCGAAGAACCUUACCUGGUCUUGACAUAUCUAGAAUCCUGCAGAGAUGCGGGAGUGCCUUCGGGAAUUAGAAUACAGGUGCUGCAUGGCUGUCGUCAGCUCGUGUCGUGAGAUGUUGGGUUAAGUCCCGCAACGAGCGCAACCCUUGUCCUUAGUUACCAGCGGGUUAAGCCGGGAACUCUAAGGAUACUGCCAGUGACAAACUGGAGGAAGGCGGGGACGACGUCAAGUCAUCAUGGCCCUUACGACCAGGGCUACACACGUGCUACAAUGGUAGGUACAGAGGGCAGCUACACAGCGAUGUGAUGCGAAUCUCAAAAAGCCUAUCGUAGUCCAGAUUGGAGUCUGCAACUCGACUCCAUGAAGUAGGAAUCGCUAGUAAUCG
rnacentral:rRNA from 1 species